rnacentral:lncRNA from 1 species
CCCAACGGAAAUAUAAAAUACAAAAUCUUUUUUUUAUUUUUGAUUUAUUACACACCUUUUCAAAUGCAAAAUAGAAGGUACAAUAGUAAUAAUAAAACUCGACAUUACUAUACAAAACUAAAAGGUAAAAGAAAACAUAAAAAUAAAAACAGACUCAAAACAUAAACAAAAGAAAAGAAAAUCUUCUUUUAAUCCAACCCUGAAUGAGCAAUCCUGACUAGAUGUCCUGGGGCUUCGUCAUGCUCCAACUCCGAUAAGUAAAUCUACACCUGUAGAAAGGUUCCCGACACUCAAAGCCUGACCAAACCCAGACUCUAAACAUCAGCAAUAAACUUCACUUCUUUUUUAGGCAUAGAAAAGCACACUGAAUGCUCACUACUAGCCUGGGAUAUCAUGAUUACGUUAGCACCAACAUUUUUUACCGCAACACAAAUCUCACUAGCUGUACCAUGAACACCAGCCAUUCAGGUUCCCUCAACACUCACUAGAGCCACAUUGUCAAUUGUUGCAAAUCCUUUGACGGGGAAUAUUGAUCGUUGUCCAUCCUCCUAUUCAUUAUCAGUGGAUCGGCAGUUCAUUGUUCCAGGUGUAGAGAGGUUAAAGAUACUUUUUAUAACAAUAGGAAUGUCAUAUUGCACCAUUGGAACAAUUGUCCGUGGAUGCAAGACAUUUGUACCGAAAUAUGAUAUUUCCCACGCCUCUUGAUAAGAUAGUGUCUUCAGUAUUACGGCCUCACUUACUUUUCUUGGAUCAGCACUAUAGACACCAUCAACAUCUUUCCAAAUUGUGACUUGGCAUGCUUUAGACAAUGCCCCCAUGAUAGCUACAGAGAAAUCACUUCCAUCUCUUUUCAAAGUGGUAAGAAUAUUUUGGGGAGUGCUAGCUAUAAAACUAGUGACAAUGAUAGUCAUUAAUGGAUUCUUAGAGUACCAUUUCUCAAGUCUUUCCUCAAACUUUGGAUAAUCUGGAUCAACUUGAUUAGAGCUCGUUGGGUUCACAAUGAGCACCUCUCUUGUGUCCACCCAUGUAGACUCUACACCAUUCAUUCUGACAACGGAUGACAACAACUGAGCAAACCAUAACUCUCCAUGCCCAGCAACAAAAUCAGAGAAAGAUUCUAUUGCAUGACCAGCUGCAAUACAAUUAAGCAAUAUAUAUUGCAUGGGGCGUGGCUUUUAGGCUGUUGAUGUCAUGAUGAAGACGAGAUAAGAAACUAGCAAGAUCAUCCCCAUCAAGUAGAUCAAUAGCAGUCAAUUUGUGUUUUUCUAGAACAACACCCAAUGCAUUAAGGUACGAGUCAUCUCGUGACCGGGCCUUUUGAAUCAGAUCAUGCAUCAUAUCUGUGACUUUUGACAUUGCAGACACAACCACCAACUUUCUUUAUGAUCGAUCCUGAAUUAUUACAUUAUCAACGUUGCGAAUUCCAUCAGAGGUUCCCACACAGAUACCGCUAAAUUUAUGAACAGACCAGUUGUCACCUCUAGGAAGCUGAGAAAUUUCUAUAGCUCCAUCCAAUGAGUAUUCUUCACUUGUAACAGCAGCACGUAUGCCGAACCUCAACUCUCCUCUUUCCCAUUUUGAACUCACAAUCAUUAAAACAAAGAAAGGCUUUAGCAGCAUAGAAAACAAAUUCGACAAGGACAGACCUUAAAGUAAAGAGGCACCUAAUUGUGGAAUCAAGACUCUUCAGACAAUUAAACAAAUCACUUUGCGAAAAUAGCCAUAUUUUGUAAAAAUGGCCAAUGUGAUCAAAAGUGGCUAGAGAUACAAGAUUUGGCUACGGCCCUCGAAGCCAGGAACCUAAGACUAGGAAGAUCGGACCCUAUAUGGGUUGCCUACGUAUCACGCCCCGAAAGACGAGAAUCAAGUAUGCGUAGUUCGGGCAUAUUGGAUACAGGCGAGAAUUAAAAAAAAUAACUAAUUUAGAGAAAAUAUAUUUUUUUGCUUUUUCUUGAUAAAUGAUGAAACAUGCAAAAUCUUUUUGGAUUUUCUUUUUCUCUUGUUUUUUUUGAUUUUCUGAUUUUCGGAAAAUGCUGAAAAAGUGCAAUUUUUUUUUUAAUUUUCAAGCUCUUUUUUUAACAACAUAAUUGGGCCCAACUCGCUUUAACUUCACACUUCACUCUCUCUUUUCUUUUCUUUUUUUCUUUUUCAUUUUUCAUUUGCCCUCAACUAUCAUUAGUCCGCCAAAUGACCAUUUUACCCUCGAAGAAAUGCAACAUGUAGCACAUAUGAUGCAUCAAGAUGGUCUGUUAUUUUGGGUACACCUGUAGUAGACGGACCCAACCCCUGUGUUGAGUCCCCAAAGUCAAAAUGCACAUGAUGCAAACAAGUGUUCCCACUAGGGAUCCAGCAUGAGGUCUUGUUAUACUAGGUUUAAAACAUGGGUUUAUUUGUUCUAGACCUGGCUUACCCGAGCGGACAACUCGAGCCGAGGGGGGGUUGCGUAUCGGUAACCAAAAGAACAUCCGGCUUUGCAACUUGUUCGAACCUCGUUCUAUUUGGGAUAUGACACUAACAGAAAGAAGUCACGACCAACAUGCACUCCUCGGGAGAGAGAAGAGAGGGGUUUCGUAGCAGUGUAUAUAUACAGUUCAGAUAAUAUCAAAGUGGUAACAAGCAACAUUUAGCACAUUAGGCUCAAACAUGUAAUAAAAUCAGAUAACAGAUAAAACCAAAUAUAACAAUUCAUCUAAGCUCGAAUUCUUGAACCCUGAACCAGAGAUUCUGGGUUCGAUCCCUAGCAGAGUCGCCAGAGCUGUCACACUUCCUUUUUACCUACACCCCCGGAAGGGAGUAUAUAAGGGAGUUUUUUCCAAUUUAAAGUGACAAUCGAAACGGGAUUAUUUUAUUGAAAUUCAGAGUCACCACUUGGGAUAAUUUAUGGUGUCCCAAGUCACCGGUUCAAAUCCCGAAUUGAGGAAAAGAUUGACUCUAUUUAACAAUCCGCGAACCAGAAAUCCAGGUAAGGAAUUCUGUUAACCUGGGAGAAGGUGUUAGACAUUCCCGGAUUUCGUGGUUCUAGCACGGUCACUCAACUAUUGUAUUCGGCUUAAUUAUCUGAUUUUAGUACAUGUUUUAGCCUAUGGUUGAAUUUUAACUUAUUAACCGCUUUUAUUCAUUUUUAAAAAGAAAAUUGCAAUGUUAUUAAAACACGCCUCGAACCACGCCACAUAAAUGCACCCGUGGCUUUCGACAUAUUUGAACAUUGUUGAGAUUUGGAUUUGGGUCACAUAAAUGCGCACCCGAAUUUAAGAAGGUAAUAUUACUAAACUAAUGCGCCUAAAGCAAUUGCGCAUUUGCAAUUUUGCGAGGGCCAUGAAAUUUGCUAAAUGGAUUAUAGAUUUGGUUGUAGGAAAGGCAAACUAGCAAACAAUCCCAAACCCUACGACUCAUCUCAACAAAUCAUCCACAAGAUUCCCCUGUACCUACUACUAUAUCAACAACCCUAGUUCUGCUAUUUCUUCUUAAUUAGUUUACUAACGGAUUGGUUUCUAAUCAAACUAGGAAAUUUCUUUGAAAAUAAUAUACAAACAGUUAAGUACCAUACACGCCAAAAAAUAGAAGAAUAUUUCAAACACUUAACAAAUGACAUGAACAAAUGGAAGCAAAUAUUUCAAACAUUCUACUAUGACAUGAACAACAACAACAUCUAACAUCCAAAUGCAAUCAAACACUAAAUUGACUCAAAAACAUGUAUAUGAAAAAAUUGAAACUCGAACCUCAAACCGGAAACGAAGAACAACGGUCUCAAGUCGAACCUCCCCGGAAACUUGAACCGGAAUCAUCCUUGACUUAACUCCAUUACCACACUCAAAAGCCAAAAUUCGGAAGCAAAUGAAGCACAGAAACGUUCUCGUCGGCAGACUCGAACUUCAAAUGGAAAUCUGGAAUGCAAAGAAGCUUGAACGCUAAAACAGAGGUUAAUUGCAUAGGAAUAACAGAAUUUUGACCAAAACAAAAAUCAAAACGGAAAGGAUUUAUCCCAGCUCUUGUUCGAGUGAGAAGCAGCAACAGAACAUCAAAACAACCCAGGAAAUCACCUCAAAACCCAGGUCGGAUUCAGUCAAUUUCUAAUUAACGGGACGCCAUACAAGAGAGGUCGGCAGACAAACAACAUUAACAACAAACAACAACAACUCCUUUAAAUUUUCAGAAGUACCAAAUGGAGGAGCAAGGCUGAAACGCAAAGAAGCUUGAAAUCCAAAGAAAAGGUCGAAUGAGUUGCUGGAAAAACCACUGGUUUGCCAAUAAAGUAAACUUCGAGCUCUAAGGAUUCAUAAGGGGUCCGAUGACUGGCCAGAUUUUUUGCAUUGACUCGCCGGAGAUGAAGCAAAAAACAAAACGAGGGAUCUAUAGCUUUUGGCGUGAGGGUGUGAAGAAGAAAAAAUUCAGGGGGGAGGGGGGGCCUCUCAGAUCCGCCAUUUGUCUGUGCAGCCUUUCUCAACUUUUUUUGUCUUUUCCCUUUUUUUUUGAUUUUUUUAAGCACUAAUUUAUAGGUAUAGUCUAGAUCUAGGUGUAUCUUUGUGUAUUUUGCUCAUUAAUCCCUAUGUCUUUUGUGUUAAGUCCUUAGGGUCCUCUUUAUUUGUUUUUUUUAUUCCAAAGAAGAGUCUAGAAGGGUCCCUAGGCUUAAUGGACUAAUCCGAUUUGGG